rnacentral:rRNA from 1 species
CCUACGGGUGGCAGCAGUAGGGAAUAUUGCUCAAUGGGGGAAACCCUGAAGCAGCCAAGCCGCGUGGAGGAUGACGGUUUUCGGAUUGUAAAAUCUUUUUGUUAGGGAAGAUAAUGACGGUAUGUAACGAAUAAGCACCGGCUAACUCCGUGCCAGCAGCCCCGGUUAUACGGAGGGUGCAAGCGUUACUCGGAAUCACUGGGCGUUAAGAGCGCGUAGGCGGGAUAGCAAGUCAGAUGUGAAAUUCUAUGGCUUAACCAUAGAACUGCAUUUGAAACUGUUAUUCUAGAGUAUGGGAGAGGUAUGCGGAAUGCUUGGUGUAGGGGUAAAAUCCGUAGAGAUCAAGAGGAAUACUCAUUGCGAAGGCGACCUGCUAGAACAUAACUGACGCUGAUGCGCGAAAGCGUGGGUAGCAAACAGGAUUAGAUACCCCUGUAGUC